rnacentral:misc_RNA from 1 species
GAUGAAGAACGUAGCGAAAUGCGAUAAGUAAUGUGAAUUGCAGAAUUCAGUGAAACAUCGAAUCUUUGAACGCACAUUGCGCCCGCCAGUAUUCUGGCGGGCAUGCCUGUUCGAGCGUCAUUACAACCCUCAGGCCCCCGGGCCUGGCGUUGGGGAUCGGCGGAGCCCCCCGUGGGCACACGCCGUCCCCCAAAUACAGUGGCGGUCCCGCCGCAGCUUCCAUCGCGUAGUAGCUAACACCUCGCGACUGGAGAGCGGCGCGGCCACGCCGUAAAACACCCAACUCUUCUGAAGUUGACCUCGAAUCAGGUAGGAAUACCCGCUGAACUUAAGCAUAUCAAUAAGCGGAGGA